GGGCUAGCAUGAAUGAAUAAACCAAAAAUGACCUUUAUUUCUUUAUGUAUUAAAAAUUUACUUUUAGGUGAAGAGGCCUAAAUCUUACUAAAAGACAAGAAGACCCUAUCAAGCUUUAUUCUAAAAUUAUUAUAAAAUAAUCACUAUUUGGUUGGGGCGACAAUAAAUAAAAUAUAUCAUUUAACACCAUCAAGAGCUAUGCCUCUACAUAUUAACUUAAUUUUAAAAACAAGAAAGCUACUGUAGGGAUAACAGGCUAAUACUUUUUAAGAGCUCUUAUCAACAAAAGUGAUUGGCACCUCG
rnacentral:rRNA from 1 species